AAAGGCGCGCGAUACAGGGUGACAGCCCCGUACACAAAAGCGCAUGUGCUGUGAGCUCGAUGAGUAGGGCGGGACACGUGGUAUCCUGUCUGAAUAUGGGGGGACCAUCCUCCAAGGCUAAAUACUCCUGACUGACCGAUAGUGAACCAGUACCGUGAGGGAAAGGCGAAAAGAACCCCGGCGAGGGGAGUGAAAAAGAACCUGAAACCGUGUACGUACAAGCAGUGGGAGCACAGGUUUACCUGUGUGACUGCGUACCUUUUGUAUAAUGGGUCAGCGACUUAUAUUCUGUAGCAAGGUUAACCGAAUAGGGGAGCCGGAGGGAAACCGAGUCUUAAUUGGGCGUUAAGUUGCAGGGUAUAGACCCGAAACCCGGUGAUCUAGCCAUGGGCAGGUUGAAGGUUGGGUAACACUAACUGGAGGACCGAACCGACUAAUGUUGAAAAAUUAGCGGAUGACCUGUGGCUGGGGGUGAAAGGCCAAUCAAACCGGGAGAUAGCUGGUUCUCCCCGAAAGCUAUUUAGGUAGCGCCUCGUGAAUUCAUCUCCGGGGGUAGAGCACUGUUUCGGCUAGGGGGCCAUCCCGGCUUACCAACCCGAUGCAAACUGCGAAUACCGGAGAAUGUUAUCACGGGAGACACACGGCGGGUGCUAACGUCCGUCGUGAAGAGGGAAACAACCCAGACCGCCAGCUAAGGUCCCAAAGUCAUGGUUAAGUGGGAAACGAUGUGGGAAGGCCCAGACAGCCAGGAUGUUGGCUUAGAAGCAGCCAUCAUUUAAAGAAAGCGUAAUAGCUCACUGGUCGAGUCGGCCUGCGCGGAAGAUGUAACGGGGCUAAACCAUGCACCGAAGCUGCGGCAGCGACACUCAGGUGUUGUUGGGUAGGGGAGCGUUCUGUAAGCCUGCGAAGGUGUGUCGUGAGGCAUGCUGGAGGUAUCAGAAGUGCGAAUGCUGACAUAAGUAACGAUAAA
rnacentral:rRNA from 1 species